AUUAAACGCUGGCGGCAUGCCUAACACAUGCAAGUCGAACGGUGACGAGGAGCUUGCUCCUCUGAUCAGUGGCGAACGGGUGAGUAACACGUGAGCAACCUGCCCCAGACUCUGGGAUAACAGUUGGAAACAGCUGCUAAUACCGAAUACGAGACGGAGAGGCAUCUCUACCGUCUGGAAAGUUUUCGGUCUGGGAUGGACUCGCGGCCUAUCAGCUAGUUGGUGAGGUAAUGGCUCACCAAGGCGACGACGGGUAGCCGGCCUGAGAGGGCGACCGGCCACACUGGGACUGAGACACGGCCCAGACUCCUACGGGAGGCAGCAGUGGGGAAUAUUGGACAAUGGGCGAAAGCCUGAUCCAGCAAUGCCGCGUGCAGGAUGAAGGCCCUCGGGUCGUAAACUGCUUUUAUGAGUGAAGAAUAUGACGGUAACUCAUGAAUAAGCACCGGCUAACUACGUG
rnacentral:rRNA from 1 species